CUUUGGCUCAGUUGGUAGAGCGGUUGACUCUUAAUCAAUAGGUCCAGGGUUCGAGUCCCUGAAGG
rnacentral:tRNA from 1 species